rnacentral:rRNA from 1 species
UACGAAGGGGGGCUAGCGUUGCUCGGAAUUACUGGGCGUAAAGGGCUCGUAGGCGGCCAACUAAGUCAUACGUGAAAUCCCCCGGCUUAACCGGGGAACUGCGUCUGAUACUGGAUGGCUUGAGUUCGGGAGAGGGAUGCGGAAUUCCAGGUGUAGCGGUGAAAUGCGUAGAUAUCUGGAGGAACACCGGUGGCGAAGGCGGCAUCCUGGACCGAUACUGACGCUGAGGAGCGAAAGCCAGGGGAGCAAACGGG